CGCGGCCUAUCAGCUUGUUGGUGAGGUAACGGCUCACCAAGGCAUCGACGGGUAGCUGGUCUGAGAGGAUGAUCAGCCACACUGGGACUGAGACACGGCCCAGACUCCUACGGGAGGCAGCAGUAGGGAAUCUUGCGCAAUGGGCGAAAGCCUGACGCAGCAACGCCGCGUGGGGGAUGAAUGCCUUCGGGUUGUAAACCCCUUUCAGCAGGGACGAAAUUGACGGUACCUGCAGAAGAAGGUCCGGCCAACUACGUGCCAGCAGCCGCGGUAAUACGUAGGGACCGAGCGUUGUCCGGAAUUAUUGGGCGUAAAGAGCUCGUAGGCGGUUCAGUAAGUCGGGUGUGAAAACUCAAGGCUCAACCUUGAGACGCCACUCGAUACUGCUGUGACUUGAGUCCGGUAGAGGAGUGUGGAAUUCCUGGUGUAGCGGUGAAAUGCGCAGAUAUCAGGAGGAACACCAGCGGCGAAGGCGGCACUCUGGGCCGGUACUGACGCUGAGGAGCGAAAGCAUGGGGAGCAAACAGGAUUAGAUACCCUGGUAGUCCAUGCCGUAAACGUUGGGCACUAGGUAUGGGACCAUAUCAACGGGUUCCGUGCCGUAGCUAACGCAUUAAGUGCCCCGCCUGGGGAGUACGG
rnacentral:rRNA from 1 species